UAAAGCAGUCGACUACCCCCUUUAUCCCUUUAUCAUUCUCUUUUUAGGGGAGGUGUCCUUGUUGUUUUUCCUUAUAAAUAGAGGCUAUAGCAAGUCUGUGAUAGGUCAUCCCCAAGUUUCUUCUCAGCACUGAAAGACUUCAUAUCUCUUUCUCUCUCUCUUGCUCCCUCUUUAAAGUUUUGCAGUUCAAAUUGGGCUAGCAGAGGGAAGCUGCUUUGGGAUCAUGCUCUUAGUUGUUCUUGAUGAAGUCAAGAAGUGGUAUGGUUUGGGAUUAUGCUUGGACCUCUGGCUAUCUAAACUAGGUGUUAAUUGGUUGAUGAACAGUUCAAUGGGAUCCAUCCAUGUGUAAUUCAGUUCUUCUCAUUCGAAGUAUAGGCUAGUUUUGAAAUGUAAUCCUGUCAAAGGAGACUGAAGUUUUAAUUCAAUUUUUCAAUUCAUAAUUCUCAUUUUCAUAGUUGAGAUCA